GAUGCUACCUGGUUGAUCCUGCCAGUAGUCAUAUGCU
rnacentral:rRNA from 29 species